rnacentral:rRNA from 1 species
GAUGAACGCUGGCGGCGUGCCUAAUACAUGCAAGUCGAACGCAUUGAGAGAAGUGCUUGCACUUUUCAAUUUGAGUGGCGAACGGGUGAGUAACACGUGGGCAACCUACCUGAUAGCGGGGGAUAACGAGUGGAAACAUUCGCUAAUACCGCAUAACAAUAGAGAAGGCAUCUUCUUUAUUUAAAAGGCGCUUUCAAGCGUCACUAUCAGAUGGGCCCGCGGUGCAUUAGUUAGUUGGUGGGGUGAAGGCCUACCAAGACGAUGAUGCAUAGCCGAGUGGAGAGACUGAUCGGCCACAUUGGGACUGAGACAAGGCCCAAACUCCGACGGGAGGCUUCAGUAGGGAAUCUUCCACAAUGGACGAAAGUCUGAUGGAGCAACGCCGCGUGUGUGAUGAAGGCUUUCGGGUCGUAAAGCACUGUUGUAUGGGAAGAAAUGCUAGGCUAGGAAAUGAGCUUAGUUUGACGGUACCGUACCAGAAAGGGACGGCUAAAUACGUGCCAGCCGCCGCCGUAA